UACGUAGGUCCCGAGCGUUGUCCGGAUUUAUUGGGCGUAAAGCGAGCGCAGGUGGUUUAUUAAGUCUGGUGUAAAAGGCAGUGGCUCAACCAUUGUAUGCAUUGGAAACUGGUAGACUUGAGUGCAGGAGAGGAGAGUGGAAUUCCAUGUGUAGCGGUGAAAUGCGUAGAUGUAUGGAGGAACACCGGUGGCGAAAGCGGCUCUCUGGCCUGUAACUGACACUGGGGCUCGAAAGCGUGGGGAGCAAACAGG
rnacentral:rRNA from 1 species